rnacentral:piRNA from 1 species
AGCCAGAACAUGCGGAUGAUCAGAUGUGC